CCCGCGCGUCCCCAUCUUCCCUUGCACGUAUUCUAAUUUGCCAGUGCUCGUUCAAGUGCCAGUGUUAUGUACACGGUUUUUGAAGCCGUAAAAGAGCCAAGUCAAUACAGUGUCAUUAAAAUGGUUCAGUAGCCUCGAGCCGAGAGCUCGCUGGCGGGUAACGCUCGAGCGGGCGACCACAAUACGUCGAUACUGCUCUAUUUUUUGUUCCAAGUGUCCGUAGUUAGUGUCGAUUCGAAGAACACAUUUCAUGAAGUGAUUUUACUUAAUGGAACGAAGACCAGCGUCGUUUGCUAUGAAGAAGCGAUGUUCGAAACGAGACGAAACAAAGCGGUGCUGCUGUGAGAAAUUCCUCGACGGACCGAGUCGGGACAAUCGAUAUAUCCUUUGACUCGAUCCACUAAAAUUUCCACGCAAUCCAUUCGCGUAUUAACGGGUUUCCAAACACCAAUAAAUUCUGAUACGAUUUUAUGAUGUUUAUCCGAAUCAUCGAGAUCGUGUCGAUUCAUGUACACCUACCUACCUAUGUCGAUUGUAAACAGAAGCUUGCAUCCUGUUGCUCCCUGUUGCUGACUUGCCAUAUAUCCGGCAUUAAUGACAUUACAUGUUACCGUUUUGUCAUUGCAGACGGUAAUAAUUGUUUUUAUACUCAAAACAAGCCGUCGCUACGUUGAAGUAAUAUGGUGGUAAUUUUUGUCUUUGGUUCAGUCUGUUCCACAAAUCCUGACCGGAGCGCGGCGUUCAGUUUUUAAAUACGUAAGCCCUUUAGACUUCAAUAGAAAAAAAAAAAACUUUUUUAUCGUCACAAAA